rnacentral:rRNA from 1 species
UAGGGAAUCUUCCGCAAUGGACGCAAGUCUGACGGAGCAACGCCGCGUGAGUGAAGAAGGAUUUCGGUUCGUAAAACUCUGUUGUUAGAGAAGAACAGCGCAUAGAGUAACUGUUAUGCGUGUGACGGUAUCUAACCAGAAAGCCACGGCUAACUACGUGCCAGCAGCCGCGGUAAUACGUAGGUGGCAAGCGUUGUCCGGAUUUAUUGGGCGUAAAGCGAGCGCAGGCGGUCAAUUAAGUCUGAUGUGAAAGCCCCCGGCUCAACCGGGGAUGGUCAUUGGAAACUGGUUGACUUGAGUGCAGAAGAGGAGAGUGGAAUUCCAUGUGUAGCGGUGAAAUGCGUAGAUAUAUGGGAGAACACCAGUGGCGAAGGCGACUCUCUGGUCUGUAACUGACGCUGAGGCUCGAAAGCGUGGGUAGCAAACGGG